rnacentral:rRNA from 1 species
GGUUUUCGUGACCAGCCUUAUACUGCAAGUCGAGCGGAAGAUGGGAGCUUGCUCCCUGAUGUUAGCGGCGGACGGGUGAGUAACACGUGGGUAACCUGCCUGUAAGACUGGGAUAACUCCGGGAAACCGGGGCUAAUACCGGAUGGUUGUUUGAACCGCAUGGUUCAAACAUAAAAGGUGGCUUCGGCUACCACUUACAGAUGGACCCGCGGCGCAUUAGCUAGUUGGUGAGGUAACGGCUCACCAAGGCAACGAUGCGUAGCCGACCUGAGAGGGUGAUCGGCCACACUGGGACUGAGACACGGCCCAGACUCCUACGGGAGGCAGCAGUAGGGAAUCUUCCGCAAUGGACGAAAGUCUGACGGAGCAACGCCGCGUGAGUGAUGAAGGUUUUCGGAUCGUAAAGCUCUGUUGUUAGGGAAGAACAAGUACCGUUCGAAUAGGGCGGUACCUUGACGGUACCUAACCAGAAAGCCACGGCUAACUACGUGCCAGCAGCCGCGGUAAUACGUAGGUGGCAAGCGUUGUCCGGAAUUAUUGGGCGUAAAGGGCUCGCAGGCGGUUUCUUAAGUCUGAUGUGAAAGCCCCCGGCUCAACCGGGGAGGGUCAUUGGAAACUGGGGAACUUGAGUGCAGAAGAGGAGAGUGGAAUUCCACGUGUAGCGGUGAAAUGCGUAGAGAUGUGGAGGAACACCAGUGGCGAAGGCGACUCUCUGGUCUGUAACUGACGCUGAGGAGCGAAAGCGUGGGGAGCGAACAGGAUUAGAUACCCUGGUAGUCCACGCCGUAAACGAUGAGUGCUAAGUGUUAG